GCAAAACUCAUCCAGACAGCAGCUGUUAGAAAUCCCCCUGGUACUACAGGCCCUCCUGCAAAAACUCUCCAAUAACAGGCUACCAGACCAAUAGCCUUCUUCUGCCCAUGGUGUUUGCAUUUUGCCUGAUGCCCAACAAGGUAGGUGGUGUGGGACCCCUUCCAAAUCCCGCUAGCCAAUUGGCAGCUGCCUGGCCACUGGCCCCUGGGCCAUGAAAAGUCCAGUUCUGGCUGACUGCUGCUACAAACUGGACUGGCUUCAUUUUCCUUCGAUCGUGAACAAAAAAUAUCAGCUUGAGGUAGACAAGCUGUGUGGCUAGGAGGAUGAGAGCAAGGAGCAGCAUAAAUCCUAAGGAAUCAUUGGCCCUGAAGGAGCGGUGUUGGAAGGUGCAUUGAUCUUCUUCCCUAAUGAAUGAGUGCCUGGAGACCACAUGAGGGAAAUCAGCUUCUUCUGUUGCUCCUACUAAACAUGUUUCCUUUGCCACUUUUCACUUGCUAGGAUAUGCUGAUGUGCUUUCAGGAGCAGACAGGCAAGGCUGGGCAGCGCCUGCGCGCUGGAACCUCCUUGAGCUCCAGCAGCGUCCUCUUCUGUCGCAGCGGCAAGUCUCCCGCAGUAAAGCAGAGGUAGUGGCGAGGUCGGAGAGGAGCUAACCUGAGCCCCGACCCGGUUCCAGAGCUGGCAAAAUUUACUGAAUGUCCCAUCCUGUUUAAUUUCCAAUAUUAGGCUUUUGUAUCAUUGUGGGUGCUUCUGAACUUACCCUUACCCGCCUGGGAAGUGGGGACUGGAAAGAUUUGCUCAGGAACUCAGGCCUACACUGCCUUAGUGCUAUGUCAGAAGGUCACCUUUCUGGUAGUGCCGGAACCCUCGCCUUCCCUGAACAUUUUUCUUCCUUCCUCUUUAAGAGUGGUCAGAAGCAUUGGAAUCUUUUUUAAGGUUUCUUUUUAAAUGAUCUCCCCAGCUGGCCCCAAAAUUUGCCGGUUAGUUGGGAAUGGGGGGAGAAAGAAUUAGAGAGGGGAAGGCGAGCAGGAGAGAUCAAAUUUUAAGGGACAGUUAAGAAAAAUCUUGUCAAUGGGGAACAAGGCAGCCCUGUCUUUGUCAUCUAUUCUCAAAUGAACGCAAAUAUGCAUUAAGUAGGGAGAAGCUAAAUUCAGACAACUGCAAAAUGACUUAGAUCCGUCUACUUUAACAAAUAUGACUGAAAAAUCUCCAAUUAUAAAUGACUAUUCCUUGUAUUUCAACUCACUGAGCGUUAGCUUUUCUUUUUCCUUCUUGCAACUAAGACUUACCAGUAAAUUGGUAAUGUCAAAGCAGUUGUGUAUGUGUUUCCCUUUUUCCCCUUUGUAAUUACCGAAGAAAAAUACUAAGAAUACAAGGAAUUCAUAAAACUUGACCUGGCCAGGUAGUUCAGUUGGUUGGAGCUUGGGGUUUUGGGUGUGAACCCUUGUUACUGCAGCAUACAGGAAUCAAUCAAAGAAUGGAUGGGUGGGGCAACAAAUCAUGUUUCUCUCAUUCUCUCUCUCUCUAAAAAUUUUUUAAAAGGCUUACAUUUGCCCAAAAUGUCCAAUGCUACUAUAGCACACCAUACAGUCUGACAUCUGGGUGCUUAUGGAUGACUCUGGAAUCAUGCAUUUUCUUAUUUUACCAUUUUGGAACAAUAUAAGAUCUUAAACAACUCCCCACCUCCCCAAAACUAGCAGACUUGCUUUCAUGAAUUCCCAGUGUAAAACGUCUACUUCUCGUCACACAUGCUUGCUGUUUUAUAAUAAUCUGUUAAUAAAACAGAAAAAAUAAAUAUUUUUACAGUAAUAAUUUGAUCUUUGAACAACGGUAAAUACCUCGCUCUUGGUGAGAAUGUGACAUGGGGAGCUUCAGCCAAUCUGCACACAGAUAAUAUGGAUUAAUUUCCAUAUUGCAUUUCUUUUGGUUAUACCAAGGUAAAGCUUUCUUUUUAAAGCUUAAAAAUGAUAACUUCAAUGUCAUGAUGUCCACACAAAGUCCUAUGUUGGGAAUACUGACAUGAUGUUAAAUUUUCCUAAUUUGUUAUGGGGGUCCUAAAUUCACUUAAAUAUAGAUGUUGAUUUGUUUUCUUUUUUCUUGUUUCUUUAUUUUUAAUUUUUAAAUUUUUGUUAGAAAAAUAUAUAAAGCGCCUAAUCUAGGCAUUCCUUUAAUCUAGAAAAAUUAAUCUUACAGUAGUACUGGAGUAACAACAUUUCUAUUCAAGUGAAACACUCCUCUUUUCUGCCAAAUUCAGAAGAAAUCAAAACCAUAUGAUGGCUUACAAUUUCUAAGUGAAACGUCAAAUUCAUUUUUACGUAAUGUCAAAUAUUUUCAAUUUGUUCUUUUUUUUACUUCUCAAUUAGUGCCUCAGUGUACUUGGCAAAGAGUUAUUUAAUCAGUUUCAUAUUUUUAAAAAUCUGUAAAAUAGAAAACAAAUUUGCUGAGUAUUCAUGAUUGCACAGAUCUUUGGUUGUAUAGAAUAGGGAAUAGUUAUUUAAAAGUAGGUUAAAAGGGUGACUGUCCUGCCAGGCCAUGAAGCAAAAAUUUAUUCUGCCAAAACGCAUAGGACCAAGAUCCAAAGGUUUAAAUAUACUUUAAGAAACAGGUAUUGAUUCCUUAAAAAUAAGAUGGGAAAUGAAUAUGCAAUAUUCUUUCAUUUCCACAUCUCAGGGUAUAUUAAGGCUAUACUUUUCCUUUGCAAAUAAGUAUAGUUAUAGCUACUAGUUCUUGAUUUUUUUCAGCUGUGAAAUUAUAAGUCCUUUUCUUGCUUCACAAGGGGGCUCAAGAAAUUAAUAAGGUAGUUUCCAUUUAGUUCAUUAACUGUACUGGAGCAGGUGUGCCUGACCUGUAGCCUGCCAGCCAUAUGCAACCCAGGACAGCAAUGGAUGUGGUCCAACACAGAAUUGUGAAUUUACUUUAAACCUUUUUAUUUGCUCAUCAGUUUUCAUUAGUGUUUGUGCGUUUAAUGUGUGGCCCAAGACAACUCUUCUUCUUUCAGGGUGGCCCAGAAAUGCCUAAAGGUUGGACACCCUGUAAAGUCUGCAUCUUCCAUCAAUAGGGAUUAAAAAUAUAUAUAUUUAAUAACAGAAAAUUUUCAUAUAAUCUACAAGUUAUCAAAAGUAAAUGUAUUGCUUCAAAGUUUUCAGAUGAUAACCUUGUUUUGAUCUUAGCUAAUUUUUUUGAUUCCUUAUAUCACUAAACAUAGAAAAUUAUAUUAAGUGUAGAGGAACUAAGCCAACAACAGGAAAAUACUCUAUCCACCCUGGGUUGGAAGGACUCCAAAGGUUUUGAAGUUCUUGGAAUGUUACAUUUGCUAUAUUGAUCAGUGGAUUAGGAAGUCUAAUGUAAUUUGCUACUUAUAAUAAUUAUAUGUAAUUUUAUUUAAAACAGCAAUUUUCUUCUUUUCAAAAUUAAUAGGAUAUUUCAUAUUUUUCCCAAGUGAUGCAUUGUCUCAUGAUGGUCAAAUGAAGUAUUUUAGUUGUAUGCAUCGUUUAUGUGAAACUAUGUGUCAGCAUGUAAACAAUUCUUGGUGAAUACAGAGAUUAAUAGGCCAGGAUAAAAACGUUCUAAGAAAAUACUGUUUAAUCUUUUAUUUAAAGUGCUUUUCUCCAGCUUGAAGCUUGUCAUUAAAUCUUUAAGUACACAUGUCUUUGGUAUUUUUAACUGUUACUGAAAUCUAAACUUGUGUAUGAAAAGAAGAU